CAUGCAAGUCGAGCGCCGUAGCAAUACGGAGCGGCAGACGGGUGAGUAACACGUGGGAACGUACCUUUUGGUUCGGAACAACACAGGGAAACUUGUGCUAAUACCGGAUAAGCCCUUACGGGGAAAGAUUUAUCGCCGAAAGAUCGGCCCGCGUCUGAUUAGCUAGUUGGUGAGGUAAUGGCUCACCAAGGCGACGAUCAGUAGCUGGUCUGAGAGGAUGAUCAGCCACACUGGGACUGAGACACGGCCCAGACUCCUACGGGAGGCAGCAGUGGGGAAUAUUGGACAAUGGGCGCAAGCCUGAUCCAGCCAUGCCGCGUGAGUGAUGAAGGCCCUAGGGUUGUAAAGCUCUUUUGUGCGGGAAGAUAAUGACUGUACCGCAAGAAUAAGCCCCGGCUAACUUCGUGCCAGCAGCCGCGGUAAUACGAAGGGGGCUAGCGUUGCUCGGAAUCACUGGGCGUAAAGCGCACGUAGGCGGACUCUUAAGUCGGUGGUGAAAUCCUGGAGCUCAACUCCAGAACUGCCUUCGAUACUGGGAGUCUCGAGUUCGGGAGAGGUGAGUGGAACUGCGAGUGUAGAGGUGAAAUUCGUAGAUAUUCGCAAGAACACCAGUGGCGAAAGCGGCUCACUGGCCCGAUACUGACGCUGA
rnacentral:rRNA from 1 species